ACUGAAUCUAGGUGGGGCCCACCACCGCCAGCGGUGCUUGCCAAUCCAUGCAACUGCGAAGCGCGCCUGGACCUUAGCAGACCGCGAAGGGCGUCAGAGCCGGCAGCUGCGGGGCGCGGGGAGGCUUGAACUAUUUGGGGGCGACCCGCGCGGCGCAUCGCCGUUUUAAAUCCCUCCCCGAGGUCCCUGGCACGCCGGAGCUGGACGGGGAUGGAGCUCCAGAACCACACGCCAAAAGCCCCGGGACUGAAAGAAGCAGUUUAAACCAAAAAAGCCGCCCCAGCUCUACAAACGGGGGAUAAAGUCCACAGCUUCCUUGUAUGUACAUAGAUCUCCCAGUUGAAGAUCCACGCCUAUGGAUAUUGGCAUCAACAUUCCCUCCGCCCUAAGGAGAACUUUGCUCAAAGUAUCUCGCCGCUGAAUGUUUUGUCCUCCUGUGUUGAGCGGCAUGGCAAGUUGGCUCUCAGGGUUCAUUUCCUUUGGACCCCAAAAUCCAGGGCCUGAUACUGCAAGGAUCCCGGACGCCUCUUGAGAUGAAGGGGAUUUCUUCAUGAAAGUGCUGAGAAAAUGCCGGAGUAACAUGAUUUUCCUGUUGAGAUUCUCUCAGAAGUUCCUCUGCUUUUCUUGGGGCUCCUCACACGUGAACCAUGCAGAGUCAGCAGCCGUGUGACAGCAAGAAAUAAUCUGCUCUGGGGUCAAAGACAUUUCUAUCCCACGAGGCGAGAAGGACAACAGGGUUUAUUUUCCCCUUUGACGCAUCUCGGAAGCAAUAUGCAUCCCAUCUUCUCUGGAAGAACUGUUUCACGCUAGCAGGUUCAAGCUUCUUCGUGAGCGACUGUGGCCAUCUUUCCAAAAGCCAUGCUCUUGUUCAGCCACAUGUUCCUGGGUGGAACUUUAUGGCCCGAAUUACGCAGGUCCGAUUCGAUGAUACUAAUGGUCCCUCCUGGACAUACAUGGAGGGAUAAUAUAAUAAAUUCUGGCUCAUGUUGGCUAACCUCCCCCAAAUUGCCGGGCGCACACACUAAGGUGUAGGCAGUGCAACCUAGUGGUCAGAGCAGAAUCAGCAGGCAGAGCCAGGCAAGCCAAUGGCUGGAGCCAGACAUCAGAACAGAACCAAACGGGAUAGCCUGAGUCGUGGUCAGGAGGCAAGCCAGUGGUCAGAGCCAGGAGGCAGGCGGGGCCUAGGCUGGAGCAGAGCAGGCAAAGGGGGGAGCAUGGGCUAGACAGGAAGCAGGUCUGAUGCUGCUGCAGGCAUGGGGCACAUUAAGCAGCCACUGUGUUGUUGUUGCUACAGGGUUUAUAUAGUGAUCUGUUGGCUCUUCUGACCAACCAGGAAGCACAGUCACUUAAUGCAGGUUUAUUGGGCCUAGCCCAGUCUGGAGGCAGCUGAGUUCCUGGCACACACGUCGCAAAAGUGACAACAUCAUGUGCUCAUCUGCUCCGAUGUCACCAACUCUCAUGGUUUUAACAUGCGUCUCACAAUAGUUGGUCUUUCUCUCGAAGCUCCAGCUCCUGGAGUCAUGGGGUUAAACGUUCAUUACAAAAAUCAAAGCAAGUUUCUAGCUCUCAGUUUUGUGCAGAACAGCUUGAAAAUAUGACCCAAAUGCAUCUAAAAGGCUCACAAUCUAGCAGGCAAAUAAAAAGAACCCAUUAAAAAAAAAGCAUGAAUUUUAUGCCAUUCUCAUGAUUUUAAGGCAUGUGACUUAUGAUGUGUGUAUAUUUGGGGUUGGCACUAAUGGCCCAGCCUGACACAAAGCUCACUUGAACUCUGUAAUGCCAAGAGUAGGAAUAAUUUAAGGAGCAGUUGCGUGCUCCAAGCAAUUGUAUAUGUGGGGAAAUGACUUUCCCCCUUCAUUGGUUAAGCUGCUGGACUUUCAGCAUAAGGGAGUUCCAUGUAAACCAAAGUUCAGCGGCGGUUUGUUUAGAAAGGUGAGGGACAUGAAGGAGCAGAAAAGGCUCAGUUUCAUCGUGGUCCAGUUCCUUCCGUGAUGAAGCCACGGACUACCCACAGAGGAGUUUCCUCCACAACUUGGGGAGGAAGCAGGAUCAAGGCCACUUGUUUUCUGCUAUGCAUGGCAGGUGCUGCAGUCACCCGUCAGAAUAUGGCUCAGAACCUUCAGGCUGCAGCUAAGUUUUGCCAAAGCAUUUUCCAGAUUGUCUGAAAGUUAAUGAGCUCUCUUACUUUUUUUUUUCUUUUUAGCAUAUUGGCUUAAACCGUCAAAUAUCAUGGGAAAUGCUGAGAAUUAAUGUAAUGUAAUGUAACUAUUGGCCUUUAUCCAUCCAGGGUCUUUUCCUGGGGUUAUUAAUGCCUUUGCGAGGGGAAUUCAUGGACACAUGCCUUCUCUUUUAAAACAUCUACGUGGAAUUUUCACAGAAAAGAGAAGUAGGUAUUUUAAUGAUUUUGUACAAUGACUGAAUCAAAAUUGAAAAUACCAUGGUCUCAUUUUAACACGGUAUUCUGGUUAUCUUAUGACACAACGAAGAAGUAGACACAAGCCAGCAUUUUUCACACGUAACCCAUGAGGAGAUGGAGGAGAGAGAUUAAGUGACUUGCUCCAGGGCAGAGAUCUAGGAGCCAGGAUCCAAACUCAGGAGUUCCUGGCAUUCAGACCUGUGCUCAGCCCACCUGUCACUCUAGCAUUCUACGUCUGUUUUAAAAUGGGUUAUAGAUGCAGGCCAAGCAGUGAAUCAGCUACUAUAAACGGGAUGGUGUGCUGCUGGUAAAUUGUUGUCAUUAUAUUUCCACCAAUGGUAACUACCUGAAGGAAAGCACUUAGAUACUAUACAAAGAAAAAAUAUUGUGUGUGAGCCAUUACCAGUUCAUGGUUUACGAGCCCGAAUUAAAAAAAAAAUUCUUCUCCUGUUUAUAGAUUGGCUUUUAAUGUGAUAGUGUUUUUUGUUAAAUUGUAUUAACUAGAAAUUAAUUUUAAAUUACCCUUAACCAUAUAACUGACCUGCGGCUAGUCUUAGUAUUUGUACUUAGGAACAUUAAAACCAACUUUGUUAUCA